rnacentral:rRNA from 1 species
UGGGGAAUAUUGGACAAUGGGCGGAAGCCUGAUCCAGCAACGCCGCGUGAGGGAUGACGGCCUUCGGGUUGUAAACCUCUUUCGCCUGUGACGAAGCGCAAGUGACGGUAACAGGUAAAGAAGCACCGGCCAACUACGUG